AUUGAACGCUGGCGGCAGGCCUAACACAUGCAAGUCGAACGAGUGGCGGACGGGUGAGUAAUGGCUGGGAAACUGCCUGAUGGAGGGGGAUAACUACUGGAAACGGUAGCUAAUACCGCAUACCAUCAGAUGCGCCCAGAUGGGAUUAGCUAGUUGGUGGGGUAACGGCUCACCAAGGCGACGAGCCCUAGCUGGUCUGCGAGGAUGACCAGCCAGACUGGGACUGAGAAACGGUCCAGACUACUACGGGAGGCACCAGUGGGGAAUAUUGCACAAUGGGGGAAAGCCUGAUGCAGCCCUGCCGCGUGUAUGAAGAAGGCCUUCGGGUUGUAAAGUACUUGCAGCGGGGAGGCGUUACCCGCAGAAGAAGCACCGGCUAACUCCGUGCCAGCAGCGGCGGUAAGAC
rnacentral:rRNA from 1 species